rnacentral:rRNA from 1 species
GUCUACAACCAUACCACCCUGAACGUGCCCAAUCUCGUCUGAUCUCAGAAGCUAAGCAGUGUCGGGCCUGGUUAGUACUUGGAUGGUAGACAGAUCUUCAGAAGAGACUGCUCAGAGACAAGCCUUUUGGAGACA